CCUACGGGGGGCAGCAGUGAGGAAUAUUGGUCAAUGGACGAGAGUCUGAACCAGCCAAGUAGCGUGAAGGAGGACUGCUCUAUGGGUUGUAAACUUCUUUUAUAAAGGAAUAAAACGAGGCACGUGUGCCUUUUUGCAUGUACUUUAUGAAUAAGGAUCGGCUAACUCCGGCCCAGCAGCCGCGGUAAUACGGGGGAUCCGAGCGUUAUCCGGAUUUUUUGGGUUUAAAGGGAGCGUAGAUGGAUUGUUAAGUCAGUUGUGAAAGUCUGCGGCUCAACCGUAAAAUUGCAAUUGAUACUGGCAGUCUUGAGUACAGUUGAGGUAGGCGGAAUUCGUGGUGUAGCGGUGAAAUGCUUAGAUAUCACGAAGAACCCCGAUUGCGAAGGCAGCUUACUAAACUGUGACUGACAUUGAUGCUCGAAAGUGUGGGUAUCAAACAGGAUUAGAUACCCGGGUAGUC
rnacentral:rRNA from 1 species